rnacentral:rRNA from 1 species
CUAGCCGUAAACGAUGGAUACUAGACGUUGUGAGUAUCGACCCUCACAGUGUCGUAGCUAACGCGUUAAGUAUCCCGCCUGGGGAGUACGCGCGCAAGCGUGAAACUCAAAGGAAUUGACGGGGGCCCGCACAAGCGGUGGAGUAUGUGGUUUAAUUCGAUGCAACGCGAAGAACCUUACCAGGACUUGACAUGUCGCGAAUCUCAGGGAAACUUGAGAGUGCCUUCGGGAGCGCGAACACAGGUGGUGC